GUGCCAGCAGCCGCGGUAAGACGAACCGAGCGAACGUUGUUCGGAAUCACUGGGCUUAAAGGGCGCGUAGGCGGGCGAUCAAGUCAGGGGUGAAAGCCCCCAGCUCAACUGGGGAAGUGCCUCUGAUACUGAUCGUCUCGAGGGGGAUAGGGGCGUGCGGAACUUCCGGUGGAGCGGUGAAAUGCGUAGAUAUCGGAAGGAACACCGGUGGCGAAAGCGGCGCGCUGGAUCCCUUCUGACGCUGAGGCGCGAAAGCCAGGGGAGCAAACGGGAUUAGAUACCCCCGUAGUCC
rnacentral:rRNA from 1 species